AGAGAUGCAUUGGGCGUUAAAGCGUGCGCAGGCGGUUUUGUAAGACAGAGGUGAAAUCCCCGGGCUCAACCUGGGAACGUGCCUUUGUGACUGCAAGGCUGGAGUGCGGCAGAGGGGGAGUGGAAUUCCGCGUGUAGCAGUGAAAUGCGUAGAUAUGCGGAGGAACACCGAUGGCGAAGGCAAUCCCCUCGGGCCUGCACUGACGCUCAUGCACGAAAGCGUGGGGAGCAAACA
rnacentral:rRNA from 1 species